rnacentral:tRNA from 1 species
GCUCUCGUCGUCUAGCUGGUCUAGGACACCACCCUCUCAUGGUGGAGAUCGCGGGUUCGAAUCCCGCCGGGAGUG